UGCUCCUCUCAAUGCAAGUGCAUACCAAACUUGUACUCGACGGAGUGAGUGGCAUUGAUUGUUUCGGAAAUGUACACCAACCCCUUCAGUCGCACCCACAGCCAUGUUCGGCAAGUUAUUGAUCGUUUUCUCCUUGUCAUCAACGACAGGAACUGUAAUAAUAAUGAAUUGCACAGAAAUAAUUCGGAAAGUUCGGUUUGUUCGUCAACAUCAAGUAGUUCGUGGAAAUCAAAAUAUUCCAUCGGCAGCGGCAAAAAGCUCUUCAAAAGGGCCAAGGACUGAGUUAGUGCUUUGUUUGGAUAACUGGAGGGCUGACUUUCCUUCCUAACUAUCGAGAUGUUGACUACUUCAUGUCUAACGGAUAUUUGGAUUACCAGCUACUACUGCACAAGGAGUUGCUUUGAUGAUUAUGUUGCCUUUCUUUAGAGAAUGCUUUAGAGAAUAGUACUGAGAGAUAUGGUUGUUUUAGUCGAAAGUAGGAUAAGAUUUGUGCAUAUCCAUUUUUAUACUUGUGUUACUAUAAUUUAUUUCUGUUAAUAAAAUUUUGUUGUAAAAUUUU